UCUAUAAGCAAUUCUGAAUUCUAUCCUGUAGACAAAUCCCAUCUCCUAUGAAACAUGCAUAUCUAGCAACCAAACUGUAUAGAAUUCUCCAAUGAAAGAAACUAGGUUCUUUGGGGAAAUAGCUGAUUGCAGGACACAGGCAGGAAAUAUGUAAGAGGAGCCAGAAUUCUGUGUUGCCUAGAAGUAAGGACAUUUUUAGAAACAAACCACACUGACAGGGGUAUAGUGGCAGAGGAGGCCAAUGAAAUGCCAAAGUGAUUUCCGGUGAAUCAUCCUCCCUGCUUCUGCGACCCACGGGAUCUUCAUGGUGUCUCCUAUUCCCUAUCCUCUAGAUAAAGAACGGUCCCCUGUCCUCCUUAACCAGGCACGUUCUUGAUGAAGGGCUCCUGCAUCAACUUUUCUGCCCAAAGUACUCUCUCCCGAUGGCAUCAGAGCUUAUGAUCUGGACUUGUCUUCAAAUCCUAGUUCAUGCAUCACAUUUUCAAUAAAACCUACCACAAUGUCCUCAUUUAAAAUAGAAACCAAUUUCUAAUCCCUCUAAGCAUAGUCUGUGUUUUCUUAGGACUUGUCACUUUCUGACAUACUACGUAAGUUAUA